rnacentral:rRNA from 1 species
ACUCCGUGCCAGCAGCCGCGGUAAUACGGAGGGUGCGAGCGUUAAUCGGAAUUACUGGGCGUAAAGGGUGCGUAGGUGGUUUAAUAAGUUAUCUGUGAAAUCCCUGGGCUCAACCUGGGAAGGUCAGAUAAGACUGUUUGACUCGAGUAUGGGAGAGGGUAGUGGAAUUUCCGGUGUAGCGGUGAAAUGCGUAGAGAUCGGAAGGAACACCAGUGGCGAAGGCGGCUACCUGGCCUAAUACUGACACUGAAGCACGAAAGCGUGGGGAGCAAACAGGAUUAGAUACCCUGGUAGUCCACGCCGUAAACGAUGUCAACUAGCUGUUGGAA